UAUUGGGCUUAAAGUGUCCGUAGCCGGUUUAGUAAGUUCCUGGUAAAAUCGGGUAGCUUAACUAUCUACAUGCUAGGAAUACUACUAUACUAGAGGGCGGGAGAGGUCUGAGGUACUACAGGGGUAGGGGUGAAAUCUUAUAAUCCUUGUAGGACCACCAGUGGCGAAGGCGUCAGACUGGAACGCGCCUGACGGUGAGGGGCGAAAGCCAGGGGAGCGAACCGGAUUAGAUACCCGGGUAGUCCUGGCCGUAAACGAUGCAUACUAGGUGAUGGCACGGCCAUGAGCCAUGUCAGUGCCGUAGGGAAACCGUUAAGUGUGCCGCCUGGGAAGUACGGUCGCAAGGCUAAAACUUAAAGGAAUUGGCGGGGGAGCACCACAAGGGGUGAAGCCUGCGGUUCAAUUGGACUCAACGCCGGAAAACUUACCAGGGGAGACAGCAGUAUGACGGUCAGGUUGACGACCUUACCUAACGAGCUGAGAGGAGGUGCAUGGCCGUCGCCAGUUCGUGCCGUGAGGUAUCCUGUUAAGUCAGGCAACGAACGAGAUCCGCACCUUUAUUUGCCACCAAGAAGUCACGACUUCGUUGGGACACUAAAGGGACCGCCGUCGAUAAGACGGAGGAAGGAGCGGGCAAAGGCAGGUCAGUAUGCCCCGAAACCCCUGGGCUACACGCGGGCUGCAAUGGUAUGAACAAUGGGCUGUGACUCCGAAAGGAGAAACCAAUCCCGAAAUCAUAUCUCAGUUGGAAUUGUCGGCUGUAACCCGCCGACAUGAACGCGGAAUCCCUAGUAAUCGUGUGUCAUCAUCGCACGGUGAAUACGUCUCUGCUCCUUGCACACACCGCCCGUCGCUCCAUCCGAGUGUGCUAAAAAUGAGGUUUGGUCAAAUUGG
rnacentral:rRNA from 1 species